rnacentral:misc_RNA from 1 species
UUUAUUUAUUGAAUAAAACUCAGACGUUAUCACAUUACCAGAGUUAAAGUUUGACGGGUCGUUGGACAUCGCCAAAGAAACCAGAGGUUAAACAAGGGGCGUGAAUAAGGCCGAAGCCUUUAACACAUUAAUGAUCCUUCCGCAGGUUCACCUACGGAAA